GGUGGCUCAGUGGUAGAGCGCUUGCCUUGCAUGCCCGAGGCCCUGGGUUCGAUUCCCCAGCACCA
rfam:Dipodomys ordii contig_50938, whole genome shotgun sequence.